UGCAGGGGGCGGACAUGGCAGGGAGGGGAGGGGAGGCGACGCGGCGCUCCGGCGCCGCAUCAAGCUGCGGCAGGGAGGCCGGAGCCACGCGCGGAGACGAAGGAGGAGAAAAUUAAGAGGCAUGGAGGAGAGGUGGGCGAGCGGGAAGGGCUGGGGCGUCGCCCACGACGUCGAGCUUGACGGCGGCCUUGCGGCGGCGCAGUCGGCGAGGACCUGUCGGAUCUCGCAGGAUCCGGUGGGAUAUGGAGCGCAGGCGGCGGAUCUGGAAGGAAGGUGGCCGGAGCUUGGAACACGACGGCUGGCGGGCGCGUCAUGGCCGACGCCGGUGAGAGAAGAGAGAGAUGAGCGGGAGAGAAAAGAGAGGACGGGAAGAAGAUGUGAGGCUAGAGGGAGAGAGAAGGGCGUGGUGGUCCUGCUGCUGCUCGCCGGUGGCUAGCCGGAGUUGCAGCCCCGCGCGUCACAUGGUCAUGCCAAGGCCCAGGUCAUCUUGCGAUUGCUGACCCGCUGCCUCUUUCUUUCCCUCUUACAGAUGCAUUCAGGAGUGCGACACCACCAUCCUGUGCCACAAACCAUACCAAGAAUGAUGAGUUAUGGCUAGAGUUCAUUUGAUCCAUCUGAUAAAAAUACCUAUUGAUGAAUAAGCGUGAAAAGUAAUCAACCACUCUUUCCGCAGUGGAAUUCGGCUUCAUGGGAAUAUGGUACCCUACGACGCAGGAAGACUACUGAAGAUCAGUUCUAAAUCUAAUCAAGUCAAAGCUUCUCUAUUGUCUGUACUGCAGCCAUGAUGAUCGGAAGUUUAGGACAACAUUGUAGUCAAGAAAAAGGAAUGAUCUUGGUUCCAAAGGCAUCUGAUUGAACUCAAGUGGAGGCCAAGGAGGUUCGGCUCUCGGAUAUGCCACCAAUAACGAUCGAUGGUACCGACGUGAAGACUUGAGAUGAUAGUGAAUUUUCCAGUGGCCACCGCUUUUCUGAGAUCACCAUCACUACCUGGCACUCUGAUUUUGCUAUAACUGUUGUCCUCCUUAUAGGUACUACACUUUCUCUUUCUACUUCUUUUGUUUCGCCAUGUUUGUUACAGUUCAUUGUGAUUCUUUUAUAUUCAUUGUACCUCUUCUUGUUUGCUGUUCUCGAUGCUGCAACACUGGUAACUGAGAAUCCGGCGACAAUCAAAUAGAAGUCGAAGAAUUCUUGUCCUUCUCUUGUGUUGAACUCCAUUUCCAGCUUCAUUAUUACUCUCUUUAUGUUCCACACAUGUGGCACAUGGUCUGAAGUGUAUGAAUUUCCCCAUAACAUGAUGGAUCCUUCAUCUUCAGCUAACUUGCAGCAAUGCAGCAAGUGUAUGCUUUUAUUUAUUUAUUUUCUUCAGGAAUUUUUGUUGCUGAUGCAACCUGAAUAUGUGUUUACAUAUCAGUUUCUCUACUUGAUGUUUCUUAAUUACCUUGUCCAAGCUUAGAUUGUCAAGAAGUCAUACUUUCCAGGGAUCUGAAGAAGCUGGAUCAAUACAAGCUUUAUGUAGAGAAACUUUAUGUAGCUUGCUGUCUUGCUGUACAUUGUCUGAAGCUUUAUGUAGCUUUGCUGUCUUGCUGUACGUUGCUGUAACUUACAGUUACAGGGUUGUACAGUCCUGUAUCAUCAAACUGGUUUUCUGUAGCAUCUUGUCUGUCCUGGUAGUUGAGUAAGUUAUUUUCUGUGAA